AUGGCGGUCAUUUGCGAGCUCGUCGGCACCAUCGGGACGGGCCCGGGCUGGUCGUGGUCGGACCUACCGGGCGACCUCCUCGAGUCCGUCCUCGCCCGCCUCCCCGUGCCGGAUCGCUUCCGCUUCCCCGCGGUAUGCACCGCGUGGUGGUCGGCCGCCAGCGCUUUGCACCCCCGUGCCGUGCCCGUGCCGUCCCCGUGGCUCAUGCUGCCCUUCGACCUGACCGCGCGCCGGAGGCGCGGUGGUGGCACGUCCUCGGAGGAGGCGCGGUUCUUGAGCCUCUCCGACGGCAGAACAUACACCGUCCCGCAGCCGGCCCCGGCCAUAUCAGACCGCCUCUGCGUCGGCUCGUCGCCCGACGGGUGGCUCGUCACCGCCGACGCCGCCUCCGAGCUGCACCUCCUCAACCCGCUCACCGGUGCGCAGGUUCCGCUCCCGCCGCCCGACACGCUCUCCUUCGUCCACGCCAGCCGCGACGCGGACGGCCACGUCGUGAGCUACAGCCUCCGAUGCUGCUUCGCCGACGAUGACGGCGACGAGGGUGCGACCGUGAUCGUCCCGCCGGAGUCCUUCGCGCCUGACAGGCUCCGGUACGAGUUCUACGAGAAGGCCAUACUCGUUUCCGCGCCGCGGGAGGGGCAUACCGCCGCGCCGGGGUCGGGCGGCUCUUGGGGCGGGUACGCCGUCAUGCUCAUCUGCCAGCCUCUGUCCCGCAUCGCCAUCGCCCGAGCCGGCGACACGAGGUGGACGCUGCUCGACACGCCCUCUCGCCGCUGGUCGGACGCCGUGCGUGCCUCCUCCACGGCUAGCGCCGGCGGGCGGCAACUGGUGUACGCGAUGGACUCCGCUGGGCGCGUUGAGGCAUGGGACGUGGACGUCACGGCGGACACGACGCCGACCCGGAAGGCCAUCGCGCAGCCGUGCUGCUGCUGCUCGGGGCGCGCGUGCUCCAUGUCGGCGGCGUGCAGUAGAUACCUCGUGGAGCUCUCGCCGGGGCGCCUACUCCAGGUCCACCGGCUCAGGGACGCAGCGCACGCGCGGUGCACGUGGGAGCCCCGACCGGAGCAGGUCGAGUACACGACCGUCGCGGCCGAGUUCUUCGAGCUGGUCGGUGGUCAGUGGGCGCCGGUGGACAGCCGAAACGGCCGCGCCAGCAUCCUGGCCGGGCGCGCGCUGUUCUUGGGGAAGAACGCGUCGUUGUGCGUCCCGGUGGACGACUGCCCCGAGCUGAGGGGCAACUGCGUCUACUUCACCGAUGACGGGCCGUGGUCGCACGAAAGGUGCCGCGAGGUGGCGCCGGACGUCGGGGUGCUUGACCUCGCCGACGGCAGCUACAGGCCGCCGCGAGGCGCGGCGCGGGACCUGCUCUGGAAGUGGCCGCCCCCGGUCUGGGUUUUCCCGUCGUGCGCCGACUGA
rnacentral:rRNA from 1 species